rnacentral:rRNA from 1 species
GACGAACGCUGGCGGCGUGCCUAAUACAUGCAAGUAGAACGCACAGUUUAUACCGUAGCUUGCUACACCAUAAACUGUGAGUUGCGAACGGGUGAGUAACGCGUAGGUAACCUGCCUGGUAGCGGGGGAUAACUAUUGGAAACGAUAGCUAAUACCGCAUAAUAUUAAUUAUCGCAUGAUAAUUGAUUGAAAGAUGCAAUUGCAUCACUACCAGAUGGACCUGCGUUGUAUUAGCUAGUAGGUGAGGUAACGGCUCACCUAGGCGACGAUACAUAGCCGACCUGGGAGGGUGAUCGGCCACACUGGGACUGGGACACGGCCCCGACUCCGACGGGAGGGAGCAGUAGGGGAUCUUCGGCAAUAGACGAAAGUCUGACCGAGCAACGCCGCGUGAGUGAAGAAGGGUUUCGGGUCGUAAAGGUCUGUUGUUAGAGAAGGACGGGAGUGGGAGUGGAAAGUUCACACUGUGACGGUACCUUACCAGAAAGGGACGGCUAACUACGUG